AGUCAUAAAACUCCCGCAAACGCA
rnacentral:siRNA from 1 species